rnacentral:rRNA from 1 species
CAACCUGCCCACCACUUGGGGAUAACCUUGCGAAAGUAAGACUAAUACCCAAUGAUAUCUCUAGAAGACAUCUGAAAGAGAUAAAAGAUUUAUCGGUGAUGGAUGGGGAUGCGUCUGAUUAGCUUGUUGGCGGGGUAACGGCCCACCAAGGCAACGAUCAGUAGGGGUUCUGAGAGGAAGGUCCCCCACAUUGGAACUGAGACACGGUCCAAACUCCUACGGGAGGCAGCAGUGAGGAAUAUUGGUCAAUGGACGAGAGUCUGAACUAGCCAAGUAGCGUGCAGGAAGACGGCCCUAUGGGUUGUAAACUGCUUUUAUAAGGGAAUAAAGUGAGUCUCGUGAGACUUUUUGCAUGUACCUUAUGAAUAAGGACCGGCUAAUUCCGUGCCAGCAGCCGCGGUAAUACGGAAGGUCCGGGCGUUAUCCGGAUUUAUUGGGUUUAAAGGGAGCGUAGGCCGGAGAUUAAGCGUGUUGUGAAAUGUAGAUGCUCAGCAUCUGAACUGCAGCGCGAACUGGUUUCCUUGAGUACGCACAAAGUGGGCGGAAUUCGUGGUGUAGCGGUGAAAUGCUUAGAUAUCACGAAGAACUCCGAUUG